CAGUAGCCGCGGGAAUACGAAGGGUGCAAGCGUUACCCGGAUUUACUGGGCGUAAAGGGAGCGUAGGCGGCGUGGUAAGUCAGAUGUGAAAUCCCGGGGCUCAACCCCGGAACUGCAUCCGAUACUGCCGUGCUAGAGGAUUGGAGAGGUAGCUGGAAUUCUUGGUGUAGCAGUGAAAUGCGUGGAGAUCAAGAGGAACACUCGUGGCGAAAGCGAGCUACUGGACAAUAUCUGACGCUGAGGCUCGAAGGCCAGGGUAGCGAAAGGGAUUAGAUACCCCUGUAGUCCCUGUCUCUUAUAC
rnacentral:rRNA from 1 species